GCCACCCGCUGCAUCACCUCUUGCCGCCCACGCGACCAAGAGGUAAUACCAUCCCCGCCACCAUGAUACCCGCCAGAGGGCCAAUCAUGCAGACCGCCAUCCAGGGCCGCUACCCCGGCAUUCAUGUCCAGGACUUCACCAACCGUCCACAUCACAGUGCAUCUGCCACAGAAGGAGGAGAAAAGGAGACACCUUUCGCUCCUAGCCCGGCAUCAGCCACAAAGUAUGGGUGGACGCCUCCACAAUAGGAGGCAUCCACGCCUGGAUCUCCAGCCGUACCCGAUGGACGGGGAAGACCCUACUCUGUGAUGACCGACGGCCGUCGCCGAGCCCGCUCGCACGGCGGCUUGACCGUGGCCGUUGACACCGAUCUUCCCAACAGUGUAGUGGAGCCCCGACCACCACCAACGUCCACCGUACCCGCGAGGAGAGGAACCUCACGACCCACGAGCACCUUCCGGAUCGAUCCCAAGCGUACCUUCCCGAAGCGCGAACUCCGACUCACCCUGGGCACUGCCCAGAUCCGCCGGAGCACGAGCCCCAACUCGCAGCUCUGCUUCGGCUUAGAACCAGGGGAGGAAGCCAGCACCACUGGCAGAGACACGACACUGAACACAAGCGCCACCUACCCAUCGAUCCGCCCCAUCUGCUCCCCGGACGUGGUCACCACAGCCAUAGAGCCGCCAGACCACCCCAGCAAGGAGCACGCCGCCACGCUGUUCCCCUCCAGUAGCCAAAGCCACCAGCGAUAGCCGGCCCAUGUUGCCUCAGCCCGCGCCGCCUGUUGGUAGCCGGCUAGAGCAUCUACCCGAUCCAGAUCUAGGCCGGGACGCCCACAACCGCCACCCGCGCAGGCAUGCCCCACCACGCCCCCAACGAGCAGCCGCCCGCGCCGCCACACCAGGACGCCACCGCCGUGUCGCCCUGGCUGCAUCCGCGCUCUGUCGUUGUCCCACGCCAGCCCACUGCGAGGAAGGGGAAGAGGCCCCGCCACCACCGACGCCGGCCGGGAUUUGCCUGACGGCGUGUUCCGAUGGUGGCGCGGGAGGGGGAGGGGCCGGGGAGGUUGAAGGUGGGCGGCGCAAGGUGGCCUCCCCACUCACGGGAGCGGGCGAGACAAGACGAGUACAUGUGUACCUUUUGUGGUAGCAUAAAUUGCGGAGCCUGCAUAGCCGAUUGAGCCUCCAAUGGAGGACAUGUUGAUGAUGCUGCCUCCUCCGGCAAUAGAAGCGUGUAUGAGAAGAGGGUGUGCGAGCUGGCUGAGAUGGAAGCUCGACUCCAAGUUGGUGGUUAGCAGAUUUGAGUAUUCCUCCACUGUACAUUCAGUAGUGGGCUUGAAGAGCAAUUGCCCUGCAUUGUUCACCUACAUAUAUAGUGACAACAAUUAAUUCAACAAAAACGAUCCUUUACAGAUACCCUACUUAGAGCGAGCUGGGCCUCUCUUAGUUAUAGGCAGGACGAGCAUGUCACAUGGUUAAUUUUUAUGGAUAGAAUUUACUAGAGGCUAAUCUAAUGCAUGCUUCGCUGCGUCGUUCUUCAUUCAUAGGAUCAACUCUUUUUUCUCGAGGAAAAGUUAUUGUGGUUGGUUUUUAUGUCAUGGUUUUGUCUACACUGCCUUAGGUUUUAAUUAUAUUUUUAUUUCAUUUGUCUAUCAUGUUAGGUUGUUGUUGGACAUGGUACUGAAAUAAGAGUGGAGUUGUAAGGUGUGUGAUGGAGUCCUUACAUAUUUCGGCCUUGGAGGUCUUA